CUUGAGGAUUCAUUGUUUGUGGGUAUUGAAGUGGGCCAAUCGAUGGUGAUCGAUGACCCAGAUGGACAAUUCUGGGUUACAGCUUUGGAUGCGAAUCACUGCCCUGAAUAUGUGAGAUCAUGCUUUCCAUGUUCUAUUAGCAUUGUUUGGUUUUAGUUGUCUUCUAUGUGCAAGUGAAUGUACUGAAUCAUUUAGUUUUUGCAUUGGCAUCUGUAACUCGACGUACUUAUACAGCAGCAAUUUCAGGAUGUCUUGCUGUAUUCAGAAACUCGAUAAUUUAGGAGAUGUUUCUUUUGUUUAGAACCAAAGUUAAAAAACAAUGGUAAAUCCAUCACUCAAAUAGCCGACCAAUGGAAUUUACUAAUCCAGUCAACCACAGAAAGAAAUAAGAGUAGCAAGUGUCUGUCUUAUCUGUUGCUGGAAACUAUCUUUGUUGUUCCCUGCAGACCAUGUUGAUAAGUUUAAUGAGAACUCAAGCAUGGGAUGCUUAUGAUACUUUUGAGUAUGAUAUUUAAUCAAUGUGUAUUCAUACAAAAGAAGAAGUAACUAUUAUUAUUAUUAUCUUUUUAAUCUUUGAUGAGGUCCUAAUAAAAUUCCAAAACACUUUUUUGUGUGCUGAGACCCUGUCGCUGAAGUACUUUAACUUGAAGCAAGUGCAAUUUUCAAUUGAACAAUUCUUAAGUCGCUCUAGAGCACCUAGCUCAGUUAACUUCGCAAUCUCCUUGGUUUUAGAAUUUUUAUAAGCUGUCCUGCAUUAGUACAUUGUGUUUUCACCACCUUGAAAGUAAUGCAUGAGCAUAUGACAUGUUUGGAUUAAUCUUGCUUGCUCGAUCUUUUAAAUAUUUAAGUGACCUACAAAUGAUUUUUGGAGAACACCAGUUACAGAUGAUCCCUUGUCUGGCAUGGAUUUAUGAACUUCAGGAGCUUUAAUGUUCUUGUUUGAGGGCAUUUUCGGUAAUAUCUUGCACACAGGAGAUUGUAGGCUCACUCCAGAGUGUCUGCAAUGUUUUCCAGAGAAGUAUAUUAACAAGAAAGGAAGAGAGCCUAGAUGCCAACUUGAUUAUGUUUUCCUAGACUGCACAUUCGGGAGAUUUCAUCAGAAACUUCCAGGCAAACAUUCAGCAACCCAACAGGUUAUCAAUUGUAUAUGGAAGCACCCUGCAGCAACUGUUGUGUAUCUGACUUGCGAUCUUCUCGGUCAGGAGGAUAUAUUGGCUGAUGUGUCUCAAACAUUUGGUUCUAAAAUAUAUGUUGACAAAACUGCCAAUCCCGAAUGCUUUCAAGCCCUGACACACACAGUUCCUCAAAUCCUCACUGAAGAUCCAUCUUCACGUUUCCAUGUGUUUGAUGGAUUUCCGAAAUUGUCUGAACGAGCUGCUGCAAAACUCGCGGAGGCCCAGGCUAAUUUUCAACCAGAGCCUCUGAUUAUUCGCCCUUCAGCACAGUGGUAUGCAUGCGAGGAAGGUGAUUCUGGCACUGAAAGUCAAAGAAAACUAAGGUUCAAUGAAGCUGUGAGGGACUCAUUUGGUGUUUGGCAUGUUUGUUACUCUAUGCAUUCUUCUAGAGAAGAGUUGGAGUGGGCACUGCAGCUUCUUGUACCUAAAUGGGUUGUGUCAACAACUCCCAAUUGCCGAGCUAUGGAGCUAGACUAUGUUAGGAAAUGCUCCUUUGGAACUCGAUUAACUUCAAAUGAUGAUCCUAUCUGGAAGCUUUUGGACAUAAGUGUGGAAACCUCUUCAAGAGCAGAUACAUCAGCAAAAGGCUUGGGUUAUUCUCUUGUAGUUCAAGGGCCCACACAAAUUUCCGAGGAAUAUCAAUUGCAGCCAGAAAAACCAUCUUCUAGCCAUCUCUUGAGUUUGUCACCCCCGAGCAAUAGGCCACCCCUUACUUUAUUUGGUAGAGCUAGACUCUCUUUCCAAGACUCAAAUUCCCCGCUCAAGGACAAAAUUGUGUUCAUAAAUGAUCUAUCUCCACAAGUUACUACAAAGAAAAUAGGUCAAGGAGUUCAAGUUGAAGAGAGUGAAGUGAAAUGUAGAAAUAAAUUGCAGAGGAAGCUAGAUAUUUGUAUUGCUGAAGAAAAAUGUGAGAACUCAGUGAAGAACGAGGCGCAUAAAGUUGCACCUUAUUCCCCAAUUGGAUCAUCAAGCAAUUUUAGCCAUAACCUGAGAAAAUAUUAUAGGUCAAUGAAUGUGCCUGUGCCUCAGCCUCUUCCCUCGUUGGUGAAACUGAUGGAUUCCAAGAGAAAAAACAAGAGGAGAAUCGAGUCCUAAUCCUUGAAACGAGGAAAUUUAAUUUAAUGGCAUACUGCUUUGUUAUGGUUGGGUGGGUUUCUUUCCACUUCUUCCAGCAAUUUGGAGGAGAUUCUCUUCUCUCAGUAUAGUAGGGAGCAAACACUGUUUUCUCGCUCCAGUAUCUGAACUUGUCUGAUUAAGAUGGCUAUUACAAGAUAUGGGCGUAUCUCCAUCUAAUGUGUCAAUCAAAUCAAAGUACCAUCUAGAUUGUUUGUCAUCACCUUGUCAAGGACACUCUUCUUCGUCUCAUUUUGGUUCAUUUUGAUAUCUUCACGAAAGCCCAUCCACCUGAGCAGUUUCAUGACUUACCUUUGUGAGCUCAAGUUAGCAACUUGACUCAUCUAAUUAUGGUAGACACCGAUUUCUGCGCAAAAAUCAAAUCGGGAGGAGACACAAAUGACUACGAGCUUGGCUGACGUUAGAGUUUCAUUUAGGAUGUAUGAUUUGAGACAAACUGGAUGUAUUGUACAAGAAGAAGUGAAGAUAUACUGUACUGUGAUUUUUUUUUUAUUUUUUAUUUUUUUGAAUAAGUAAUGUGAUGCAGGAGUUCUUCAUUAAUAUCUAUGAAGUAUUUUCAAUCUAGGAUUAGCUAGGAUUUGUCCUAACUAGAAUAAAUAAGACGACAAUUAUCAGAUUA